rnacentral:tRNA from 1 species
GCCUGGGUGGCUCAGUCGGUUGGGCAUCUGACUUCGGCUCAGGUCAUGAUCUCCCUGUUCCCGAGUUCGAGCCUGGUUUCAGGCU